UGCCGACUGCCAGCCCAGCUUCUGAUGCACAAAGCAUGUCUCUGCUGGGGUAGAUUGCCACUGAACAAGACGUAAAGGUGCAAAGGCGCUCGUAUCUAUAGUGGUACCUUGGGUUAAGAACUUAAUUUGUUCUGGAGGUCCGUUCUUAACCUGAAACUGUUCUUAACCUGAAGCACCACUUUAGCUAAUGUGGCCUCCCGCUGCCGCCGCGCCGCCGGAGCACAAUUUUUGUUCUCAUCCUGAAGCAAAGUUCUUAACCCGAGGUACUAUUUCUGGGUUAGUGGAGUCUGUAAGCUGAAGCGUAUGUAACCCAAGGUACCACUGUAUUGAUGUCACAGGCUGCAGAGUUGUCCCAAGACAUUUCUGCACCUGAUCCAGAAAAAAAGAAAGAAAACCUUUUAUCAUAUGUGGUGGACCUGUAAAGUAAUAAAAAAAUUCUGGGAAAUGAUAUAUAAUGAAAUGGAAAAAAAAUGUUUAAAAUAACUGUAAUGAGUAUGAGUUACUCGUGCGUAAACUGGUGCCUCUCUAGGCUAAUUUGCCUUGUUAAACCUUUCUGACUGCACAGCCCUUUCUCAUCGUGGCUGCCUCAGUCGCUGGCAGAAUCCGUCAGUGGGCGUUUCUUGAACCUCUUCCAACAUAAAAGUUGUUUGACACCCAGUCUCCUCCUCCUCUCACUGCGCGGGAGUCUUCUGCGCAGGGAGGGCGUGGGUAGCGGAGGACCUGUCCCCUCCUCACUGAGGUCCAGUGAAGAGUCCUGGAGCCCUCUCUAUCCCUCAUCUGCCCCCCUUUAUCCCUGGUGUUGCGCUGAUUUGCUUCCCCCUCUACUGAGCUGUUUCUCCCCCUGCUGCUGGGUCCUUCGCCAGCAUCAUCUAGGAGCCUCCCCUUCGCCUCUCGCUCCGAUGUCAGUUCCCUGACAAUAACCUUUGUUAAAAAAAACCCAAAAGCUUUUCUAUUAGGAAUUAUAGGUACUGAGAUCCUAAAGGACCCAGAAAAGACUGUUCACGUACGUGACGACAGCCGCACGGAUGUUAUUUGCCCAGAGAUGGAAGGAAGAGACAACCCCAACCAGAGAAGAAUGGCAAACCAAGUUGAUGGACUAUGCCAAAAUGGCAAAAUUAACUGGGGAGCUUGGGAACCAAGAAGACAAGAACUUCAAAAAAGAAUGGGAAAAGUUCAUAAUUUAUAUACAAAAUCAUUGUAAGCAGGUUAAAACAUUGGCAGGGUUUUAAACACACUUGUAAUUUAACAGAAUCGAUGGAUAAUUUAGAAAGAUUUUUUUUUAAUGGAGAAGUAUUAAUAUGCAAUUGAAAAUGGGCUCAAUAGGACCCAUGGAAGGGGGGGUGGAGUCAGGAAAUUCAGAGUAAUCUUGAUAUUUGGAUUUGGAAAUUGGUUUUGUUGUAUGUUUAUAUUUUUGAAAAUCAAAUAAAGAUUUAUUUCAUAAAAGGAAAAAAAGAAAACCUUUUGUUCACGAACGAUGUGGGGUGCAACCCAUUGCGACACACUCCUGUGGAAAACCUGUUGAAUGGACUGUGGCUUGUCGUUCCCUCUUGUAAGAAUGUAAAAAUAAGGCUGCUGGAUCAGGCCCGUGGCCAUAGGGGGUCUCAUAGUGGCCAGCCUGAAGCCUCUUUCUGGAAACCCACAAACAGAAUCCGAGCUCAACAGCGUUCUCUCCCUCCAGCAACUGCUGACCCUCCAUGUGUCCCUAUUUUCCAGGGACAGCCCCGGAUUUACAGAAGCCAUCCUGGUUUCUGGUUUGAUCCCGGAAUGUCCCGCUUUUCCUUUUUACGUCCCUAUUUUCAUCAGAGAAAUGUUGGAGGGUAUGCAACUGGUACCCAGAAGAUCGCGGCCUCCAGCCACAGAGGCAGAGCCAAGCCAUUGUGGCUAGUGGCCAUCAACAGCCCUCUCCUCUGUGAAUUUGUCUAAAUGGAUUUGCAGCUGGAAGAAUUAGCUAGUUGGGGCUGGCUGAUCGCUCACGUCCCUGGUCUUUAAUAGAAUGUGGGGAAGGUGCUGUUUUGAGGGUUUAGGGCAGGGUUUGAGGAGGAGAGAGUUACUACUGUAUUGUCUUUUUUGGAGGAGCCAUAAGGAAAAUAAUGGAGCCACCCCAGGAAUUGGUGCCAUUUUGGAACGGCCUGGAUUAGAUGUUCUGCAUGUGUGAUGGCAAGACUCUGGGACUGUGCUGAUUCUGCCGUGGGGCAGGCGUAGUUUGGGAUGGCCUCUGUUAUGUACUGAGUUGAAUAGGAUCCAAACUGCAGCAGUCUGAUUGGUCCUAGAACAAUAGGAUCCAAAAUGCAGCAGUCUGAUUGGUCCUAGAACAAUAGGAUUCAGAAUGCAGCAGUCUGAUUGGUCCUAGAACAAUGCAGCAGUAUGAUUGGUCGGCAGGAGCCACCCAAUCCAGCUCCAGAUAGAAGUGAAUCCACAACCUGAUUGGCCUACAGGAGAAUUCCGGAAUUAGCCAAUCAAGUGCAGCCCAUUGUGUAAAUAAUGUAUAUAAAGCAGAUACUUUCGGGAAACUUUCAUUCCUCCUCACCACUAUGAACUGAAUAAAGAGCAUGAAAUCCACUCUUGACUCUGAGUAUAUUUCAGCCUCCUUCUCAUAACUGUUUUUCAAGCCAUCUGUCCAAAAUCCAGCAAAACGGAUUUGAACAAAGACACCGCUGGGGUCCUGAUGUUACCCUGCAAGGGUAACUGGGUGGCACGGCCUGCUCUGAACCUUCCCACCGCUCUGAGGUGAGCCAGAUGGGUGUGCCAAACAGGCCUCAGAGCAUGCUGUGCCCUGGCAUUUUGUCAGAGGGUGGCAUUCUCCCACCCGCUUAUAAUGGGGUACUUAGAAAGUCAUCACUGGGCAAUUUACC